rnacentral:tRNA from 1 species
GCGAAAGUGAUGGAAUUGGAAUACAUCGGGGAGUAAGUCGUUUGAGCGAUUGUCAGCGAGACCAUACCCUAAGUCACUGGGGCAAUAGUUGUGACAUGCGGGUUCGACGCCCGCCUUUCGCGCCA